rnacentral:rRNA from 1 species
AAAGGAAUUGACGGGAGCCCGCACAAGCAGUGGAGUAUGUGGUUUAAUUCGACGCAACGCGAAGAACCUUACCGAAGCUUGACAUCCCCGGAAAGCGGCUGUAAUGGCUGCCGUGCCUCUUCGGAGGAAUCGGGUGACAGGUGGUGCAUGGUUGUCGUCAGCUCGUGUCGUGAGAUGUUGGGUUAAGUCCCGCAACGAGCGCAACCCUUACGGUUAAUUACUACGCAAGAGUACCUUAACCGGACUGCCGUUGACAAAACGGAGGAAGGUGGGGACGACGUCAAAUCAUCAUGCCCCUUACGCUUCGGGCUACACACGUACUACAAUGGUGAGAACAAAGGGAAGCCAAGGCGCGAGCCGGAGCAAAUCCCAUAAAAAUCAUCCCAGUUCGGACUGGAGGCUGCAACUCGCCUCCACGAAGUUGGAAUUGCUAGUAAUCGCGGAUCAGCAUGCCGCGGUGAAUACGUUCCCGGGCUUUGUACACACCGCCCGU